rnacentral:rRNA from 1 species
UAUAAUGGGUCAGCGACUUAUAUUCUGUAGCAAGGUUAACCGAAUAGGGGAGCCGAAGGGAAACCGAGUCUUAACUGGGCGUUAAGUUGCAGGGUAUAGACCCGAAACCCGGUGAUCUAGCCAUGGGCAGGUUGAAGGUUGGGUAACACUAACUGGAGGACCGAACCGACUAAUGUUGAAAAAUUAGCGGAUGACUUGUGGCUGGGGGUGAAAGGCCAAUCAAACCGGGAGAUAGCUGGUUCUCCCCGAAAGCUAUUUAGGUAGCGCCUCGUGAAUUCAUCUCCGGGGGUAGAGCACUGUUUCGGCAAGGGGGUCAUCCCGACUUACCAACCCGAUGCAAACUGCGAAUACCGGAGAAUGUUAUCACGGGAGACACACGGCGGGUGCUAACGUCCGUCGUGAAGAGGGAAACAACCCAGACCGCCAGCUAAGGUCCCAAAGUCAUGGUUAAGUGGGAAACGAUGUGGGAAGGCCCAGACAGCCAGGAUGUUGGCUUAGAAGCAGCCAUCAUUUAAAGAAAGCGUAAUAGCUCACUGGUCGAGUCGGCCUGCGCGGAAGAUGUAACGGGGCUAAACCAUGCACCGAAGCUGCGGCAGCGACGCUGAUGCGUUGUUGGGUAGGGGAGCGUUCUGUAAGCCUGUGAAGGUGUGCUGUGAGGCAUGCUGGAGGUAUCAGAAGUGCGAAUGCUGACAUAAGUAACGAUAAAGCGGGUGAAAAGCCCGCUCGCCGGAAGACCAAGGGUUCCUGUCCAACGUUAAUCGGGGCAGGGUGAGUCGACCCCUAAGGCGAGGCCGAAAGGCGUAGUCGAUGGGAAACAGGUUAAUAUUCCUGUACUUGGUGUUACUGCGAAGGGGGGACGGAGAAGGCUAUGUUGGCCGGGCGACGGUUGUCCCGGUUUAAGCGUGUAGGCUGGUUUUCCAGGCAAAUCCGGAAAACUAAGGCUGAGGCGUGAUGACGAGGCACUACGGUGCUGAAGCAACAAAUGCCCUGCUUCCAGGAAAAGCCUCUAAGCAUCAGGUAACAUCAAAUCGUACCCCAAACCGACACAGGUGGUCAGGUAGAGAAUACCAAGGCGCUUGAGAGAACUCGGGUGAAGGAACUAGGCAAAAUGGUGCCGUAACUUCGGGAGAAGGCACGCUGAUAUGUAGGUGAAGUCCCUCGCGGAUGGAGCUGAAAUCAGUCGAAGAUACCAGCUGGCUGCAACUGUUUAUUAAAAACACAGCACUGUGCAAACACGAAAGUGGACGUAUACGGUGUGACGCCUGCCCGGUGCCGGAAGGUUAAUUGAUGGGGUUAGCGCAAGCGAAGCUCUUGAUCGAAGCCCCGGUAAACGGCGGCCGUAACUAUAACGGUCCUAAGGUAGCGAAAUUCCUUGUCGGGUAAGUUCCGACCUGCACGAAUGGCGUAAUGAUGGCCAGGCUGUCUCCACCCGAGACUCAGUGAAAUUGAACUCGCUGUGAAGAUGCAGUGUACCCGCGGCAAGACGGAAAGACCCCGUGAACCUUUACUAUAGCUUGACACUGAACAUUGAGCCUUGAUGUGUAGGAUAGGUGGGAGGCUU